rnacentral:tRNA from 1 species
ACUUUAAAGCAUGGCACUGAAAAUGCCAAGAUGGACGAUUAAACCGCCCCAAAAACA